rnacentral:rRNA from 1 species
CAAAAUGACUCUCGGCAACGGAUAUCUUGGCUCUUGCAUCGAUGAAGAACGUAGCAAAAUGCGAUACUUGGUGUGAAUUGCAGAAUCCCGUGAACCAUCGAGUCUUUGAACGCAAGUUGCGCCCGAAGCCAUUAGGUUGAGGGCACGCCUGCCUGGGUGUCACAC